GUGCCCGGCGCACUUCCUCAGGGGCACACAGCCCGGGUCUUCUCAAGUCAUGUUCGAUAUCUAGUUAAGGGGUACAUUUAUCUCCAGUGUUCCCCGGGACCUUCCCUUUUGAUUUUCAAGAACAUUUUCUUCCCUCUGCCAGAGCAGUCCUUUCGAAUCAAAGGCUCGGCUUUUCCAAAGCGUAGUUUCUGAUGUGGGCUUCAGUGGACUGGCUGCGAAGUUCCUGAGACAAUGAGAGGGGAUGCUGGCUGUCUCUUUCUCUUUAUCUUCUCGCAGUAAAGCUCCAGUUCUCCUUGAGGUAAAGUGGAGCCUCUGAUUGACGCGAGGACGCGGGGAAAAUGAAAGCCAUAUUAUUAUUAUUUCAAGUUGUGUUCUUGCGGCGUUCCCGGAUGUCUGUGGUGACCCUUCACUUGUUGUGUGAAGUCAACAAAACUGACCAGCACACCAUCUGAAUGCUACAGCGGGAUGGAGAUGGGAGGCGAAGCCUUGGAAGCUGGAGGGUGAAUAGCUGGUGUGCACAACCCCCUAGCAACGGGCAAACAAGGCAGGAGGAGUGUGGAAUGGGAGUCAGUGCUUAAUGGGCACUAAGUUUCCAUUUGGUUGUAGAGACGAUGGUGCUGAUGGCUAUAAGGCGUCUUGAAAGUGCUGAAUGCCACCAAACUGCACAAUUGAAACAGUUAAGAUGGUGAAUGUUGUGUGUGUUUUCCUGCCGCUGAAUACUGUAUUUUUUUUUUCUGGUAUGUUUUAUUCUUGUGUAAUCAGCUUUGUGGUUUUUUUUCCCCUUCCAGAUUAACUCGAGAAUCAACUUGUCACAUUCUAUUAAAAGUCCCUUUGAUAUUUUUACUGCAGUUACAUCAAGUUUAUGGAUUGCCUUGGGGAGAAGUGACAUUUUUAUGGUCCUGAUCUUUCCCCCAGGUGGAGGCCUCCUCAUUGACUGGGAUCUCUUUAUGUCUCUCAGUAAAGUUGUAUAAUUCCAUUCCAUGUGAGACUUUAAGGACAUGGAGGUGAGGAAGACAUGCAAGGACCUGUCUGCAUGGAGUUUACAGUUGUGGAAGAGAUGAGCAGGAAGCUGGAUGGAGAAUAUUUGCCAUUCAUCAGUGCUCCACAGAUUGUUAAGAUUUCUUCCUGGGGCUGGAGAGGCAAUACUAUUCCAGAGGACCCGAGUUUGAUUUCCAGCACCAACAUGGCAGCUCACUAUAGUCUGUAACUGCACUCCUGGUCCGAUCUGCAGGCACUGUGUGUGCACAUAAGGAAUGUGGACGUACCUGAAGGCAGAACACUCAUCACACGUGAAAUUAAAAAAUUAAUAUUGUUUAAAAG
rnacentral:lncRNA from 1 species